rnacentral:misc_RNA from 1 species
GAUGAAGAACGUAGCGAAAUGCGAUAAGUAAUGUGAAUUGCAGAAUUCAGUGAAUCGUCGAAUCUUUGAACGCACAUUGCGCCCGCCAGUAUUCUGGCGGGCAUGCCUGUUCGAGCGUCAUUUCAACCAUCAAGCCCCCGGCUUGUGUUGGGGACCUGCGGCUGCCGCAGGCCCUGAAAACCAGUGGCGGGCUCGCUAGUCACUCCGAGCGUAGUAAUACAUCUCGCUCAGGGCGUGCUGCGGGUUCCGGCCGUUAAAAAGCCUUAUUUACCCAAGGUUGACCUCGGAUCAGGUAGGAAGACCCGCUGAACUUAAGCAUAUCAAUAAGCGGAGGA